rnacentral:rRNA from 1 species
CCUACGGGUGGCAGCAGUGGGGAAUAUUGCACAAUGGGGGAAACCCUGAUGCAGCGACGCCGCGUGAGUGAAGAAGUAUUUCGGUAUGUAAAGCUCUAUCAGCAGGGAAGAAGAAAGACGGUACCUGACUCAGAAGCCCCGGCUAACUACGUGCCAGCAGCCGCGGGAAUACGUAGGCGGCAAGCGUUAUCCGGAUUUACUGGGUGUAAAGGGAGCGUAGACGGCUGUGCAAGUCUGAAGGGAAAGCCCAGGGCUCAACCCUGGGACUGCUUUGGAAACUGUGGAGCUAGAGUGCUGGAGAGGUAAGUGGAAUUCCUAGUGUAGCGGUGAAAUGCGUAGAUAUUAGGAGGAACACCAGUGGCGAAGGCGGCUUACUGGACAGUAACUGACGUUGAGGCUUGAAAGCGUGGGGAGCAAACAGGAUUAGAUACCCCGGUAGUC